rnacentral:rRNA from 1 species
UACGUAGGCAGCAAGCGUUGUUCGGAAUCACUGGGCGUAAAGGGCGCGUAGGCGGCCCUCCUUGUCGCGUGUGAAAGCCCCGGGCUCAACCUGGGAACGGCGCGCGAGACGGGGGGGCUGGAGUUCGGGAGAGGAGCGUGGAAUUCCCAGUGUAGAGGUGAAAUUCGUAGAUAUUGGGAAGAACACCGGUGGCGAAGGCGGCGCUCUGGACCGAGACUGACGCUGAGGCGCGAAAGCGUGGGGAGCAAACAGG